AGAGUUUGAUCAUGGCUCAGAUUGAACGCUGGCGGCAGGCCUAACACAUGCAAGUCGAGCGGUAGCACAGAGAGCUUGCUCUCGGGUGACGAGCGGCGGACGGGUGAGUAAUGUCUGGGAAACUGCCUGAUGGAGGGGAUAACUACUGGAAACGGUAGCUAAUACCGCAUAACGUCGCAAGACCAAAGUGGGGGACCUUCGGGCCUCAUGCCAUCAGAUGUGCCCAGAUGGGAUUAGCUGGUAGGUGGGGUAACGGCUCACCUAGGCGACGAUCCCUAGCUGGUCUGAGAGGAUGACCAGCCACACUGGAACUGAGACACGGUCCAGACUCCUACGGGAGGCAGCAGUGGGGAAUAUUGCACAAUGGGCGCAAGCCUGAUGCAGCCAUGCCGCGUGUGUGAAGAAGGCCUUCGGGUUGUAAAGCACUUUCAGCGGGGAGGAAGGCGAUAAGGUUAAUAACCUUGUCGAUUGACGUUACCCGCAGAAGAAGCACCGGCUAACUCCGUGCCAGCAGCCGCGGUAAUACGGAGGGUGCAAGCGUUAAUCGGAAUUACUGGGCGUAAAGCGCACGCAGGCGGUCUGUCAAGUCGGAUGUGAAAUCCCCGGGCUCAACCUGGGAACUGCAUUCGAAACUGGCAGGCUAGAGUCUUGUAGAGGGGGGUAGAAUUCCAGGUGUAGCGGUGAAAUGCGUAGAGAUCUGGAGGAAUACCGGUGGCGAAGGCGGCCCCCUGGACAAAGACUGACGCUCAGGUGCGAAAGCGUGGGGAGCAAACAGGAUUAGAUACCCUGGUAGUCCACGCUGUAAACGAUGUCGAUUUGGAGGUUGUGCCCUUGAGGCGUGGCUUCCGGAGCUAACGCGUUAAAUCGACCGCCUGGGGAGUACGGCCGCAAGGUUAAAACUCAAAUGAAUUGACGGGGGCCCGCACAAGCGGUGGAGCAUGUGGUUUAAUUCGAUGCAACGCGAAGAACCUUACCUGGUCUUGACAUCCACAGAACUUUCCAGAGAUGGAUUGGUGCCUUCGGGAACUGUGAGACAGGUGCUGCAUGGCUGUCGUCAGCUCGUGUUGUGAAAUGUUGGGUUAAGUCCCGCAACGAGCGCAACCCUUAUCCUUUGUUGCCAGCGGUCCGGCCGGGAACUCAAAGGAGACUGCCAGUGAUAAACUGGAGGAAGGUGGGGAUGACGUCAAGUCAUCAUGGCCCUUACGACCAGGGCUACACACGUGCUACAAUGGCAUAUACAAAGAGAAGCGACCUCGCGAGAGCAAGCGGACCUCAUAAAGUAUGUCGUAGUCCGGAUUGGAGUCUGCAACUCGACUCCAUGAAGUCGGAAUCGCUAGUAAUCGUAGAUCAGAAUGCUACGGUGAAUACGUUCCCGGGCCUUGUACACACCGCCCGUCACACCAUGGGAGUGGGUUGCAAAAGAAGUAGGUAGCUUAACCUUCGGGAGGGCGCUUACCACUUUGUGAUUCAUGACUGGGGUGAAGUCGUAACAAGGUAACCGUAGGGGAACCUGCGGUUGGAUCACCU
rnacentral:rRNA from 1 species